AGGGAACAUUUUCUGCCCGGUGAUGUAGGGUCCUGAUUACUCCAAGUUUGUGUUCCAGAGGGUGGCGGGAGUCAAAGAUUUACCACACGUCCUUCCAUGGCCAGGGAUUGGACCACCAAGAAACGGACGUGCAGAAACAUGUAAGGCAAAGCUCAGGCCUAGUAAACUGAAUACAUGCUUAACCAUGGAUUUUCUUGAGGUACUCCAGUCCACACACAUGCAGAUGGAGUUGUGGGCUGGCUGUUCUCACUGGACCUUGUCCACUGGCAGAGCUUCUGAUUUUCAUGAACUUCAGUCAUCACAUCUGUUUUCCAUCUCCUCAUCAAACCGGCUUGUGCUUCCACUCUCCACCAGAUCAUUGUCACCUCCUUGAUCAUAAUUGGGUUUUUUAUGCUCUUGUGCUUGCCUCCUGCUUUGUUUAAUCCUGCCUUCUUGUCUAACUCCAGUGACCUCCCUGGUGAAAAAAGGUCCCUAACUCCUCUGCUCUGUGGAGAGUUCUGAGCUAACCUGCAAUACUUAGCUGUUUCCAGAAACAAGGUCACAUGCCUUCCAAAGGAAAA